CAGAAAGGUGGUGAAUUGAGUCUUUAUGACAGAAGAGAGGUUCAUUUGAUCAUCAGAAAGGUGGUGAAUUGAGUCUUUAUGACAGAAGAGAGGUUCAUUUGAUCAUCAGAAAGGUGGUGAAUUGAGUCUUUAUGACAGAAGAGAGGUUCAUUUGAUCAUCAGAAAGGUGGUGAAUUGAGUCUUUAUGACAGAAGAGAGGUUCAUUUGAUCAUCAGAAAGGUGGUGAAUUGAGUCUUUAUGACAGAAGAGAGGUUCAUUUGAUCAUCAGAAAGGUGGUGAAUUGAGAUGAAAUAGCAGAAUGGGUGUUUUUUAUGAUGAGCUGCUGUUAGACAUAGUACUCCAAUACACCUGUCUGUAUCCAGCUGUUAACCAAUCAUAAACAUGUCUUUAAUAGGCCAAGUAAUGUUAUCUACCUUCUCUAAUAAUGUAUGACAGCGUGUAAACCAAUGCAGUAGUGUAGAGCUGUCCCUCUAACCUGUACAGUCUGUAUGAGGAAUGUCUCUAGAACCUUAUCAGUGGUCCUGGUCUUUGUAUUCAUGAUUACAUAUUGCUGUGUCACCAUGCCCAAAGGCUUAGUCAAACCAGACAGGCUGCACCAUCCUACACUCUUAUGGGUACAUACUACUGUACAUUCUCUAUCCGUCUGCCUGACUGAAAUGUUCACAUACAUAGUCCGUCUGUUGUUUUAGCCAAUAACUUGGCAGAACACUGAGGGGUUCAGUCAGCCAACCAAUGACUGAAGAAUGCAGGAUGCUGUCCUUGCUGGAAUGUUGUAGUAUAUGUCAUCAUAAGUUCAUGGGCAGAGUUUCUGUGUUCACUAUAGUUCUCAGUGAGAACGCCAUUUUAACCUUACAGGACACAGCAAGACUCCUCUUCGUCAUGUUCUUCUUCAUCCUCCUCCACUGCACCAUAUUGGUGACCUGCUGCUGGGCCCACAGACAGAACUACAGUUAUAUCUCUGACUCUGAGCCCCACCUGUGGGCUUAAGAGAGAGGAGAUGGACUUCUAACAACAACCUGGACCUCCAUGUUGCUUUGGGGCGGACUGACUCUGAGGCGUUGUGAGAGACAAUGGACAAUAAGCCCUCUAUGGCGUCCAUGUUGCUUUGGGGCGGACUGAGUGUGUGGGAAAAGUAUGCUAAUAUGGGCUUAUGCAGUCAGACAGGAACCUGUAGUUACCUAGAGACUGAGCUAGUCUAGGAACAGGAGAACGUGUUAAUGAAGUCUUGGGAGGGAGGGAUCAGGGUUAUUAUUAUUAUUAAGCCUUAAUAAAUCCACAGUAAUGAUGAUCAACCCAGUUCAUCCCUCUACUAGGCAUGUCAUCAUGUAACGCAUUCCUUCUAUACAGCAGGGGAAACAAACCCAGUCCUCCAGGGCCACUGGAAUGAUGCUCUCACUGUUGUACUCUACAGCAUACAGCUUCUGGUUAGAAAGAUGUAGGGUGAAACUAGGUGAGACAGCUGUUGUACUCUACAGCAUACAGCUUCUGGUUAGAAAGAUGUAGGGUGAAACUAGGUGAGACAGCUGUUGUACUCUACAGCAUACAGCUUCUGGUUAGAAAGAUGUAGGGGUGAAACUAGGUGAGACAGCUGUUGUACUCUACAGCAUACAGCUUCUGGUUAGAAAGAUAUAGGGUGAAACUAGGUGAGACAGCUGUUGUACUCUACAGCAUAUAGCUUCUGGUUAGAAAGAUUAUAGGGUGAAACCAGCACAACCAGUCUCUGCUGGACCUGUCUCUCCCUGCUGUAGAAGGCUCAAACCACCUGUAAGUCAGUGCAACUCAAUAUCACACUCAAUUUGUGCAAAUAUAUACAAAAAGUAUUUCAGCAGAUUUAGUGUAUUUUUAUGUGGCUUAAUUUGUGUGAAAAUACAAAAAAAAUGCUCUUAGGUGUGCCCCCCAAAAAUGUAUUUUCCUAUGAAUGAAGUUGCACAAAAAUGUGUCUUUUCACACGAAUUAAGACACACAAAAACACACAAAAUCUGCUUAAAUAGUUUUUGUACAUAUUUGCACGAGUUGAGUGUGAGAUUGUGUUGCAACGUGUUAUAAAGUGCUUGAAUUGUGCCAGAACGCAGAAGUACAGAGUAUCGCACCUCAAAUGUAUUACUGUUUUGAGUUUUGGCACCUCUUACAGAGUUUUACUUUAAAAUAUUGUGGCGUUCUGCCAGUGGCACAUAAUUAUAAACAGUAGGGGCGCCCAAAAU
ensembl:lncRNA